AUUGAACGCUAGCGGGAUGCUUUACACAUGCAAGUCGAACGAGGGGCGGACGGGUGAGUAAUAUAUCGGAACGUGCCCAGAAGCGGGGGAUAACUACUCGAAAGAGUGGCUAAUACCGCAUAGCAUUGGAGCGGCCGGUAUCGGAUUAGCUAGUUGGGGGGGUAAAGGCUCACCAAGGCAACGAUCCGGAGCUGGUUUGAGAGGACGACCAGCCACCCUUGGACUGAGACCCGGCCCGGACUCCUACGGUAGGCGGCAGUGGGGAAUUUUGGACAAUGGGGGAAGCCCUGAUCCAGCCAGCCCGCGUGUAUGAAAAGGCCUUCGGGUUUUAAGGUACUUUUGGCAGAGAAGCGGUAUCUGCAGAAUAAGCACCGGCUAACUACGUGCCAGCAGCCGCGGUAAUAC
rnacentral:rRNA from 1 species